GAUGAACGCUAGCGGCAGGCUUAACACAUGCAAGUCGAGGGGUAGCAUAGAUUGUAGCAAUACAAUUGGUGGCGACCGGCGCACGGGUGCGUAACGCGUAUGCAACCUACCCGUCACAGGGGGAUAAUCCGGAGAAAUCUGGUCUAAUACCCCAUAACAUAUGGAUCGGCAUCGGUUCAUGUUGAAAUUUUCGGAGGUGACGGAUGGGCAUGCGUAGCAUUAGCUUGUUGGUGAGGUAUCGGCUCACCAAGGCGACGAUGCUUAGGGGGACUGAGAGGUGGUGGCCCGACAGUGGGACGGGGACACGGGGGAGAGACCUACGGGAGGCAGUACUGAGGAAUGUGGGGGAGUGGACGAAAGCCUCAGCCGUCCAUGCGGCGUGCAGGAUGACGGCUGUAUGGGUUUCAAACUGAUGUUUUACGAGGGUAAGGUGAGUUACGUUGGACCCUAUGACAGUAUAGUACGAAUAAGGACCGGCCAACUCCGUGCCAGCCGCCGCCGUAA
rnacentral:rRNA from 1 species